rnacentral:rRNA from 1 species
UACGUAGGGUGCAAGCGUUAAUCGGAAUUACUGGGCGUAAAGCGUGCGCAGGCGGCUUUGCAAGACAGAUGUGAAAUCCCCGGGCUCAACCUGGGAACUGCAUUUGUGACUGCAAAGCUAGAGUACGGUAGAGGGGGAUGGAAUUCCGCGUGUAGCAGUGAAAUGCGUAGAUAUGACAUAGAACACCAAUUGCGAAGGCAGCUUACUACACAGUUAUUGACGCUGAGGCACGAAAGCGUGGGGAUCAAACAGG